GAGUGGGAGAGGAAGAAGCAGUCUCAUAGCGGAGGAGCCUGAUGUGGGGCUCGAUCCCAUAAUGCCGGGAUCACGCCCUGAGCCGAAGGCAGACGCUUAACCACUGUGCCACUCAGGCGCCCCUCCGUAUUGCAUUUCUAAGAGGAACCGAACUUACACAUUCCUGGUACAGGAUGUGAUGUGACCUCAUUCCAAGGCUGAGCCUUAGAGAAGUCUCAGCUUACCUGUCACCUGCUCAGAGACGAGUUUGCUGAUCAGUCACCAAACCUAACGUGUCAUCCCAAGCACUGGGACACAUCACCCUAUAGUAUAUCACUGCAUUUGAACUUUCACUGGAGCUGUUUUUCCUUUUUUUAUUUACUUAAUAUGUUGCCUGUUUCCCUUUCUGUAAAAGGGAAGCGUCAUGAAAGCACAUUCUCGGUUGCCUCGUUCAUUGCUGUGUCCCUUGUGCCCGAAAAGCAUUCAUUGUAUGUUUGUGGAAUAAAUAAGUUAAUGAAAUGA